GCCGGGGUGGUGGAACUGGUAGACGCGCCGGACUCAAAAUCCGGUGCCAGAAAUGGUGUGGGGGUUCGAGUCCCCCCCCGGCA
rnacentral:tRNA from 1 species